rnacentral:rRNA from 1 species
UCCUACGGGACGCAGCAGCGAGGAAUAUUGGUCAAUGGGCGAGAGCCUGAACCAGCCAAGUCGCGUGAGGGAUGACUGCCCUAUGGGUUGUAAACCUCUUUUGUAUGGGGGGAAUAAGCUUUACGAGUAGAGUGAUGACAGUACCAUACGAAUAUGCAUCGGCUAACUCCGUGCCAGCAGCCGCGGUAAUACGGAGGAUGCGAGCGUUAUCCGGAUUUAUUGGGUUUAGAGGGUGCGUAGGCGGGCUGUUAAGUCAGCGGUCAAAUGUCGGGGCUCAACCCCGGCCUGCCGUUGAAACUGGCGGC